AUUGAACGCUGGCGGCAGGCCUAACACAUGCAAGUCGAGCGGAGCGGCGGACGGGUGAGUAAUGCCUAGGAAUCUGCCUGGUAGUGGGGGAUAACGUCCGUAAACGGGCGCUAAUACCGCAUACUAUCAGAUGAGCGUAGGUCGGAUUAGCUAGUUGGUGGGGUAAAGGCCUACCAAGGCGACGAUCCGUAACUGGUCUGAGAGGAUGAUCAAUCACACUGGAACUGUGACACGGUCCAGACUCCUACGGGAGACAGCCGAGGGGAAUAUUGGACAAUGCGCGAAAGCCUGAUCCAGCCAUGCCGCGUGUGUGAAGAAGGUCUUCGGAUUGUAAAGCAAUUUAAGUUGGGAGGCGUUACCAACAGAAUAAGCACCGGCUAACUUCGUGCCAGCAGCCGCGGUAAUUC
rnacentral:rRNA from 1 species